rnacentral:rRNA from 1 species
UGGGGAAUCUUAGACAAUGGGGGAAACCCUGAUCUAGCCAUGCCGCGUGAGUGACGAAGGCCCUAGGGUCGUAAAGCUCUUUCGCUGGGGAAGAUAAUGACUGUACCCAGUAAAGAAGUCCCGGCUAACUCCGUGCCAGCAGCCGCGGUAAUACGGAGGGGACUAGCGUUGUUCGGAAUUACUGGGCGUAAAGCGCACGUAGGCGGACUAUUAAGUCAGGGGUGAAAUCCCGGGGCUCAACCCCGGAACUGCCUUUGAUACUGGUAGUCUUGAGUUCGAGAGAGGUGAGUGGAAUUCCGAGUGUAGAGGUGAAAUUCGUAGAUAUUCGGAGGAACACCAGUGGCGAAGGCGGCUCACUGGCUCGAUACUGACGCUGAGGUGCGAAAGUGUGGGGAGCAAACAGGAUUAGAUACCCCCGUAGUCC